GCCCGUAUAGCUCAGUGGUAGAGCGCAUCACUCGUAUCCAGCAGUGGAAUUUGCGACAUGAUGAGGUCCGCGGUUCAAUCCCGCGUGGGGGCA